CAGUGCUACACGUGCCGCUGUUGUUCAUAAUCAUGGCUAUUCCCCAAUCAAAAAUUUGUUGUAAUUUUAUUUGUGUCAUUGGGCCAAAGUUACCUGCUCUAUUUACCUGAGUGCUAAGGAUAACUUAAGUUUUUCAAUUCUGUAAACCAUACAAAAAAGCACCAGCGGUUGUUAAUUAAAAACUCAUCCAAUUAAACCUUCCAAGCGAUAUAUCAGUUUCUAUGAAUGAAUGAAUCGAAGUUCAAAGUACAAUACGAUAUUGAGGAUGCAAUAAAUCGAAGAUAGUUUUAAUUAUAUUUGAAAAAUAUUUUGAAUUAGUUGACAAUAUAUUAGUAUGUACAUAUUUAGAAUAAAGUAUGAGUGAUCUUUUUUCAUGGCCCUGUGCCAACACUC